rnacentral:rRNA from 1 species
AUUGAACGCUGGCGGCAUGCCUUACACAUGCAAGUCGAACGGCAGCACGGGGGCUUGCACCUGGUGGCGAGUGGCGAACGGGUGAGUAAUACAUCGGAACAUGUCCUGUAGUUGGGGGUAGCCCGGCGAAAGCCGGGUUAAUACCGCCUACGUACUACGGCAGAAAGCGGGGGACCUUCGGGCGUGGCGCUAUACGGUUGGCCUAUGGCGGAUUAGCUAGUUGGUGGGGUAAAGGCCUACCAAGGCGACGAUCGGUAGCUGGUCUGAGAGGACGACCAGCCACACUGGAACUGAGACACGGCCCAGACUCCUACGGGAGGCAGCAGUGGGGAAUAUUGGACAAUGGGCGAAAGCCUGAUCCAGCAAUGCCGCGUGUGUGAAGAAGGCCUUCGGGUUGUAAAGCACUUUUGUCCGGAAAGAAAGGAUUGGCCCUAAUACGGUCGGGGAAUGACGGUACCGGAAGAAUAAGCACCGGCUAACUACGUG